UUUGACACAAAGGAUCACUCGAUUGGCCUUGAACUAUCAGUAAACUCGAUCUAAAUAGUCGACUUCUUUGUUAACUGAUUAAUCAAAGAUUCAUUCUUUUGACAGUCCGCUUAAGCACAUGCCCAAAACACUUAAGUACGUGCCCUUUUUACCUUAUGUAAACACAUACCUACAGAUCUAGCGAUUCCCUUAGCCUACACUGCUCCCACGCUGGAGACUUACAACGACAUUAUGGGACGCAUUGCGAUCUUAAGGUCUUUUACAGUAAGUUAGACGACUCAAGCUAGGCGGCUCAAGUUGGAGCAAAAGAAAUAAAAGUUUGAAGAAACAUUUAAAAACAAGACCUAACUGUUUUUAAUUGAAACCACCAACAAAACUAAGAACUAACCAUGUGGCUCUGAUAGCAUUUGAUAGCGGAUAAGUUUUUAUCAUAAAACUUAAACGUAAAA
rnacentral:lncRNA from 1 species